rnacentral:rRNA from 1 species
GACGGAGGAUGCAAGCGUUAUCCGGAAUGAUUGGGCGUAAAGCGUCCGCAGGUGGCAGUUCAAGUCUGCUGUCAAAGACCGGGGCUUAACUUCGGAAAGGCAGUGGAAACUGAACAGCUAGAGUAUGGUAGGGGCAGAGGGAAUUCCUGGUGUAGCGGUGAAAUGCGUAGAGAUCGGGAAGAACAUCGGUGGCGAAAGCGGAUCUCUGGGCCUUACCUGACGCUCAGGUGCGAAAGCUAGGGGAGCGAACAGG